ACCCGCACAAGCGGUGGAUGAUGUGGAUUAAUUCGAUGCAACGCGAAAACCUUACCUACCCUUGACAUGUCUGGAAUCUUGGUGAGAGCCGAGGGUGCCUUCGGGAGCCAGAACACAGGUGCUGCAUGGCUGUCGUCAGCUCGUGUCGUGAGAUGUUGGGUUAAGUCCCGCAACGAGCACAACCCUUGUCACUAGUUGCCAUCAUUUGGUUGGGCACUCUAGUGAGACUGCCGGUGACAAACCGGAGGAAGGUGGGGAUGACGUCAAGUCCUCAUGGCCCUUAUGGGUAGGGCUUCACACGUCAUACAAUGGCGUAUACAAAGGGAUGCGAAAGGGCGACCUGGAGCAAAACUCACAAAGUACGUCUCAGUUCAGAUUGGAGUCUGCAACUCGACUCCAUGAAGGCGGAAUCGCUAGUAAUCGCGGAUCAGCAUGCCGCGGUGAAUACGUUCUCGGGGUUU
rnacentral:rRNA from 1 species